GGGAUCCACUAGUACUCUCCCAGGCUAUUGUGCUAGACAGACAUAUAAAUGGAUAAUUGCAGCAUGGAGUGAAAAAAGCAUAAUGAUGUUGGUGCUGUGAUAGAAGGACACACACUAAGCCCCAGAUUAUUGAGAAAUCCUCAGCCUGGCCAGGCCCUGGAGAAAUAUGAGCUACCCCAUAGCUCCCAAAUUUUUAUCUUCUCCAGUCACCCUGGGUAGUUAAUCCUGAACAAGUCAGUUCUGGCGAAGAGAAUGGACUAACAUGGUGAAUAUGAAGCUGCUGAAACACACUCUGUGGAUAAGGAAGUCUGAUAAGGAAAUCAUUUUGAGCUUGGCAGAAACCCAAAUGGUAUCUACCACAAUCACUAAAGACCAAUGAUUUUUUUGUCAUAAAUUUUUCUCUCGAUCUAUUCCCUAUCCCCAUCACCAAGCCAUUGUACUUGUUCAGGUUCUCCUUCACCUCUUUUGUGGACUAAUUUGCUCCCAUUAAAGUAAGUAUCAUACAUGAACUCUUCUGAUUAUUUGUUUACAUACCUGUUUCUUUGCUAAACUUUAAAGUGCCUGAAGACAAGCAUUAUAUCUUUUCAUUUUUGU